UAAAGGAAGGAUAAAUGAUUUCAUGACUUUCGCCACUAUUAGUUUUGAAAUUGCACUUGCAUACAAUCUUCAUGAAACCCAAAGAAAGGUAAAAAGGAAUGGCAUUGUUAGCGACAACAAGAGAGAAAGCAAAACCCAAAAAAUUUGUACCAUACCAAUCUGGAGGAAGCUUGAUAGUUAUCGAAGAUCCCUUAUUUUGAUGGCAGAACCAAUGUGGAAUUUGAUUUCCCACACAUAUAGUGCUAACUAAAGUCUCAUAAGAGAUUUCCUGUAACAUCGAUGCAUGGACAUCAAAUAAAUUAUUCAACACGUGAAAAAAUGGCAUGAGGGAGAUAUGAAAGUGUGUGUGUGUGUGCGUGCGUGCGUGCGUGUGUGCGUGUGUGUGUGAGAGAGAGAAAGACCCUGUUUUGGUGAUCAGCAAAAUGAAAACGCACUCGAAACCAUUCAUAUUUAUCCCAAGCUUGUGUGAGUGAAUUUCUUGAACUGGUAACUGUCUUCAGUGAAGUGCAGCCAUCUGCUUGAAGACAACGUAGCACUGGGAGCUCUGGUAAAAAUUUUAGACUUGUGCACCGUCCCAGAUUCAGACACCUAAGCUUGUCAAGAUCUUUAAAAUAGGAAGGAAUUCGAACCAAUUUUGUACAACCGUAAAGAUCUAUAUGCUCAAUUUUUGGACAGCGAGAGAGAUCUGGAACUUCAGUCAGACGCUUGCAAAAACUUAGUUCAAUCACUUUUAAGUUCCCAAGAUUCUGUAACAUGUUAAAGAGAAAUGGAAAGAAGAACAUUAUUUCCCCAGCAGACCAAAGGCCCAUGUACACAUAAACAAGGAACAAAAUUUUAUUGCAGCAUUAAUUUACAAACCAAAGGCCCAUAUACACAUAAACAAAACAAAUAGGGGCCACCCAAGCUAACCUAAAAGACUAACCUAAAAGAGCCCAACCAAGGGCCCAAAGCUAGAUACAGAAUAAAAGAAAAUUCUAGAUUCCUUCUACCACCACUGCAAUAGUAUUUCCCAAUCAAUCCGAAUCGAUUUCCCCAGCAGACGCAAAAAAUCCUACCAAGCAGCACCGUAGAGAUUAAAUGGAGGAAAAUCCCAUCAUCCAGCCACGUACACCGAGCCGAUCUCAACUAGAAAGUUGAAAAAAGCUUGUGGAUUUACCAAGAACAACACUGCCAACAAAGGUAGACAAAGAGAAGGAGGUGGUGUUUGUAAACACCUCAGUCGGUGCAACCACCAAAACUCUACGCACCCUCUCGAAUGAACGCAACAAAUUGCGUUGAAAACUAACUGCAGACCAGAAUGAUUGAUCGAGGAAGAUGGAAGCCCGUGAAGUUAGCAUGGGGUAAAGGCAGCAAAAUGAACAAAAAGACGAAACUUAGAGAAAAAGGAAAGAUCUUCCACCAACCCUUGCCACAGCGAGGGCCGACGGCGAUUAAUGCAAAAGGUCAUACAUUUUGUGUAUUUUUAAAACUAAAUUAUAAAUUAAUGCAAGUCGCGCGUGGCACGUAUGAUGGAAAAAAAAGAUUGUAUGUAUCUGCUAAGCAUAACUCAAACAAAACAAUUAGAAUAGGUACUAGCAAAAAUUGCCCACGCGAUGCUGCGGGUUUCAAAUGCAACCGGUUCUUGCAAUCAGUAAAUAUGGUUACGAAGUUGUCAAUAGUACAAAAAAAAAAACAUGUUGACCAGGAUAGUCAAAUUUUAUUAGUUUAUUCCGAAUGACUUCAACUUCUUCAAUAGGUUUGCUUCUAGACUCUUACAUAUCACUCAAUACUUUUGUUAAUUGGCCCUAAACUCUAAGUAAAAAAAUGAGGCAACUCUAAUUAACAAUUGCUAAUCAAACUGCAAAAACAACAUAGUGAGUUUCAACUGUGUUCAAACAUCUGAAUCAAUAGAUUCAAAGGUCUUGAUAUGCAUUAUUAUUCAAACAUCUGAAUCAAUAGAUUCCAGAGUCUUGAUAUGCAAUAUUAACCAAAGGCAUCCAUUACAUUUUAAUAAAAAUUUCCCUAAUGGAUCGCAACGCAGAUACAAUUUGAAAGAUCAAAUUCAAACAUUGAAGCACUCAAGCAAUUUAGAUAAUGCUUGAAAGAUGAAAUUCACACACUAAAACCACUCUGUAACGGAUUCACAUGAGUCACAGUAGGAACUUACCAACCAAAACUUUACCACAGCCAAACACUAGGUCAUUUCCAUUAGUUAAGUAGAUUUUACGUAGCUGCAUUAACAUUGAAAUAAGGGAAAUAAAUCAGUAAUCUUAAUUUUUUUAAGGAACUCAAAAAAAUUUCCCAACUUGCUUGUUUUCCUUGCAUUAAAAAUUAUAAGCACUGAGGGGAAUGGAUAUGCCCCAACAAAUAAUGCGAAAAUCAAUAAUAAAGAUUUUUAUAUAAAUUUUGUGGUUAAUGUGUAUAGCAAGUGCAUUAGAAAAUCAAACCUUGAAUAUAAUACAGCGAACAUGGCUUUGCGAGUAGCCCACUUCAAGCACGAUGGAACUCUGAUGUGACUGUCGCAUCAUGCCACGUAUAGAAAAUACCAAUUGAUAAAGAGUCAAAAUUCAAUAAGUUUAUCUCACAAUUAUUUGAUUUAAACUGAUUCUUUUCAUAUGGUUCAUCACAUAAGGGGUUUCUGAGUAAUCCAAGCAAUUAAGCUACUGGCAGGAUUUGGAGAUAAAUCUUGAAACAGUAUGAAAUUCAAUGACAACAUAAAGGGCUUAAAGGGAAGUAGUGGUACUGGUGAUAUUAGGAUACAAUCAGAAAAGCAUUUAAAUGCUUAGCUUUUAGUUUAACACUUUUCUUCUUUAGAGAAGAGAGGCAGGGGAAAGCAAUAGGAACAGUCUGAUAGGUUCUAAGUUUUAUACAUACAUACAUAUUGAUACACACACACCAAUAUUCAUUGACCAUAAAGUAUUACAUGCAACUCAAAAAUUAAAAAUAAGAGAGAGACUUGGUGGAAAACCCGAACUCCCUUACCCUAAAAACUCAAUGCGCAAUUAGAUCAUCAAGCUUCAUGUCAUAUUUUUUUUUCGUUUAAGAAAACCUUCUUCCAGUUCAAGUAAUACCAAUUUAUGUUUAAAUACAUUAAAUAUUCAGAAUACAUAAUUUGGAAAUAGAAAAAAACAUAAACAUAAUCAUACCUGGAGAGUGAUGGCAAACGUAUUAUAUCAGCCAGAAAAACCUUGCAAAGAACAAAAAUUCCACAAAAUCAGUAUAUUAGCACUUCCUGCAAAACCCCAAAAUCAAAAAUUAGAAAACUCAAAUUUGAUAACAUAAUACAAAUUUGUAUCUGUUAGAGUAGACUCCAUUUAAAUUAGAAUAAUUAGGUUUAGGAUAAAUACCCAAACAGUUCUACUUGAUUUGGUCCUUGCUGCAAAAAUGCAGGCAUGGUGUUAUACACAUUAGACUUUUUCUUGCCGGUCCAGCAACGACCACUAACACAGCAGGCACAAUUAAAAGGUCCACCACUUCUCCAACAAAAAACCUACUUUACACAAAUUUUUUGAAUUAUAAUCAAAAUAAUUAGAUUAAAUGCAAAAUUAAAACUUAUAUCAGAAAAUGCAAUUGAAAUUAACCGAAACCCUAAUUGAAUUGAAGCCCUUGUUAAAAAAAGCUUCACUGAUAUUGAAAUUAAACAAAACCCACCCUGAUUUUGAAACCUCAGACUCAGAGUCUCAUACCUUAAAUUUGAGCAUCGAACCUGAGAGGCAAAGCCAUGAAGAUUGUUAAUAACGGCGUGGUCCGUUUCGCUUGCGUCCGGCAAGAAACAGUUCGCCCGAAUUCCAACACCCAAAAGCCUGGCUGCUUGAUACUUGAAAUCGAGUUUUUGGUUCGAGGGUUUAGAUUAAGUGUGAGUGUGAGAGAUUGUGAAAUUAAAUUUGUUGGUUUGAGGGUAUGAGGGCUUGAGGGGUUUUGCGGUGCCUGUGAGCGAGAGAGAAAGGAAGCGAGGGUUGAUGCAGUGAAAAGGUAAACGGAAUAGAGAGAUGAGGAGAGAGAAGAGAAGACCGCAGAUAGAGAAAUGGAAAUGGAAGGAAAAGUCGGGAAGAAAGUCUGAGCGGAGCCUUUGACGAUGAUCAACGCGUGGCCAAGAAAGAAAGAAGAGGAAGCCGAAGGAAAACAUCGAGAAAAAGAAACAAAAACAAAAGGUUAAACUAUGAGUGACCCGUGGCAAAAAAAGGGCAAAAUCGAAAUUUUGCUGUACCAAGCAAACAACAAAACGUAGGAGUGAGAAGAAACAAAGGGCAUUUCUGUUCUUUCACUGUUCACAAACAGUGAAAAAUAGUGCCAGCCGAACUAAGAAUUAGUAUAUGUAUGAUAUAUGUAUUUAAAAUUUGUAAGUGGUAACUAGUGCACGUGAUUAAAGAAAGACCUUUUAAUUUUCAAAAAUAAAAAAAAAAACAAAAACAAAAGUCAAUAAAAAUAUUAGUUUUCUCUUCAAGUUCAAUACCACUAGCUGAUAUCUUUAAAAGAACAAAACACUAAUUAACUCGAUCCUAAUAUUGAAAAUAUUUUGUGAUCUUAAACAAAUUACGCCCAACUUACAAACCAACACAAGAGUUUUCAAAAUUACUUGGAAAGCCAAAGUGUUGCAACAACAAAGACUAAAACAAGGAAUUCCUUGGCCACAAGGCUCACAAACAGCUCAUGAUGAGAAUACAAACAAUAAGAAGAGCUCAAAUUCUUUAUUUUUCAUUUCUACGUUUUUUUUUUUUUAGCUACUUCAACUUGUAGAUCCUCCUAACUUGAUGGUCUCAACAUCUUGGGCAUACAGCAGGCAUAUCCCACACUUUGUCACCAUUCUCCGAACGGCCCCUUUUUCAAGAAAGCGACUUAUCACAGGGUAGAACUCAAAACAGGCAUCAGUAACAAGUUUGUAAAAAGAAGUGGAGCGAUUUAAAUUUGCUCCCUCCCCAAGUGCAAACGCACUAUACCACACAAAUAUGAAUUCGGGCCGGAAAUAACGCUUCCGCACUCUUUCAGUGAAAGGAACAAAGGAAGGAUAAAUGAUUUCAUGACUUUCGCCACUAUUAGUUUUGAAAUUGCACUUGCAUACAAUCUUCAUGAAACCCAAAGAAAGGUAAAAAGGAAUGGCAUUGUCAGCGACAACAAGAGAGAAAGCAAAACCCAAAAAAUCUGUACCAUACCAAUCUGGAGGAAGCUUGAUAGUUAUCGAAGAUCCCUUAUUUUGAUGGCAGAACCAAUGUGGAAUUUGAUUUCCCACACAUAUAGUGCUAACUAAAGUCUCAUCAGAGAUUUCCUGUAACAUCGAUGCAUGGACAUCAAAUAAAUUAUUCAACACGUGAAAAAAUGGCAUGAGGGAGAUAUGAAAGUGUGCGUGUGUGUGUGUGCGUGCAUGUGUGUGUGAGAGAGAGAGAGACCGUGUUUUGGUGAUCAGCAAAAGGAAAACGCCCUCGAAACAAUUCAUACUUAUCCCAAGCUUGUGUGAGUGAAUUUCUUGAACUUGAAACUGUCACUGGCGCAGUUGCCACUCGCAUAAUUCUCAACCGUGUGUCGGCCAUUAUAUUGGUCCUUGCAUUUUCAUCCAAGUUUUUGCACCUAACAAAAUGAAAACGCCCUCGAAACAAUUCAUAUUUAUCCCAAGCUUGUGUGAGUGAAUUUCUUGAACUGGAAACUGUCUUCAGUGAAGUGCAGCCAGUUGCUUCAAGACAACGUAGCACUGGGAGCUCUGGUAAAAAUUCUAGACUUGUGCACCAUCCCAGAUUCAGACACCUAAGCUUGUCAAGAUCUUUAAAAUAGGAAGGAAUUCGAACCAAUUUUGUACAGCCGUAAAGAUCUAUAUGCUCAAUUUUUGGACUGCGAGAGAGAUCUGGAACUUCAGUCAGAUGCUUGCAAAAACGUAGUUCAAUCACUUUUAAGUUCCCAAGAUUCUGUAACAUAUUAAAGAGAAAUGGAAAGCAGAACAUUAUUGACUUCGGCCAACUAGAUUUCCAGAGGCACC
rnacentral:lncRNA from 1 species